rnacentral:rRNA from 1 species
UACAGGGGGGGCAAGCGUUGUUCGGAAUCACUGGGCUUAAAGGGCGCGUAGGCGGCCUGCUAAGUCGAACGUGAAAUCCCCGAGCUCAACUCGGGAACUGCGUCCGAUACUGGCAGGCUUGAAUCCGGGAGAGGGAUGCGGAAUUCCAGGUGUAGCGGUGAAAUGCGUAGAUAUCGAGAGGAACACCUGCGGCGAAGGCGGGUUGCUGGGCUGACACUGACGCUGAUGCGCGAAAGCCAGGGGAGCGAACGGG